UACAGAGGGUGCGAGCGUUAAUCGGAAUUACUGGGCGUAAAGCGCGCGUAGGCGGCUUUGCAAGUCGGGUGUGAAAUCCCCAGGCUUAACCUGGGAACUGCAUUCGAGACUGCAUUGCUAGAGUAUGGGAGAGGGAAGUGGAAUUUCCGGUGUAGCGGUGAAAUGCGUAGAUAUCGGAAGGAACAUCAGUGGCGAAGGCGGGUCUCUGGACAGUUCCUGACGCUGAGGCACGAAGGUCAGGGGAGCAAACGGG
rnacentral:rRNA from 1 species